CACAGCUCCAGAAGCUCUGCCUAACAUUACUCCGAAGGGAGCAGUCAAGGUCCAGUGAAAAGCAGCCAGCAGAUCCUUCUGAAAGGCUCGGGGCAUAAAUUCAUCGUCUGCUGAGGCAGCGCUGUUGACAACAAGACAUGCAUCACUUCUUGUGUUCUGCACAACAUUCUUCAGGAGCCAACUCAGCAGCCCAGUGAGAUACAACAGCUGUUUGCCCAGGGGACACAAAUUUAGAUCCCAAGCCACCGAGCUGAGAAGCACAGUGGAGGAAGUGUUCCGACCCGGGAGCAGGAAGUCAGUACCUGGCUUUGAUCCGAUGGGGGUUGUGAUGCUGGAGGAAUCCAGAAGCAGUGGGGUCUGGCUCGUCUACUCAAUGGGCCGAUCUCAAUAAUGCAGAGACUGUCCUGAAUACAAAUACAAAUCGUGCCCCUUAACACACUCUCCCUUUUCUGGGAAAGUUUGAAAGCACAUUAGAAUGAGUUUGGUUCCUACCUCUAUCAGGGAGCCCACCCGAAACCAUCUAAUUUGGAAUGUUUGGAUCCAGAUCUUUACUUUAUGGCACUACAGUAAUUGAUUCUUAUUAAGUGGAGAAAACGUAUAUCGCUCACCUCGUUCCCCAUGGUAACAGCUUUAAUAUCUCCCUUUACUCGCUCCUCUCAUCACUAGGAUUGUCCUCCAUGGGCUCCAUUUUUAGAGUUUCAUAAAUAGCUGGUUCUUCGCCAUAAUUCAAAUCUUGAUUUAAAAGAAGAAAAGAAAUAAAAAAAAGCAAGUAUCAAGUGGACUUACGUUAAUGGACUAAAUCUUGAUUUGUUGGCAUUCCAUUGGUUCUGAUAUGGUUUAAAACUAAGACUGAACAACUGGGAGUCAGGACACACCGGUUUCAUUGCUCAGCUUGCUGGUGAAUCCUCUGUAAUCCUGGGCAAAUCACAACUGCUCUGCACCUCUCUUCUGCAAAAUGGGAAAAAUAAUCUUUUAUCUACUUGACAGAAAUGAUGAGCCAGAACAUUCAUAAAAUGCUUUGAGAUCUCAGGAUGAAGGGUGCUGGAGAAAUGCAAGUACAGGUAGCUCCUCCCUUA